CUCUUCUUCCUCUCUAAAUUCCCUCCAAUUGGGCCGGCCAAUUGGCUACAGAGGGCUAGCAGUGUGUUGCCAGCAUCGACACAUAUGAUUGGCCUAUUGUUUGUCAUUGUCAAUCAAUCAUGGGCUGACAGGCUCAGAGAGCCCUGACAGUGCUGUCAAUCACAACACAAACCAGGGUGGGGCGGGACCUCAUGGCAUUGGCGGGGGGAGUCGCGGGACGGGCUGCUGCUGAGACAGAAACUUAAAAUGGAUAAUAAGAGUAAAAAACGCCCGGGUGGCGCUGAGAAGCAUCGGGAAAAAAAGCCUAAGUCUCUGGAGGUGGAGGCUGCUAAAUGUGCCAAACUGACGGACCUGUUUGGUGCCGGGUUCACCAGCCCAGCAGCAGCAGGUGCGCCGGGAGACGAGCGAGGAGGACUCGACAAUGAUGAGCGAGUGGAGGCAGACAUGGUUGUUGUGAUAUAUUUGAGGAGUCGUUCUCCCUCUGUUUUAUAUGUGGACAUUUGGGACCACUGUUAGAAUUUGGUUGACCACUUGACAUGUGAGAGCCUGAGGAGUUGUUCCCCCUCUGUCCAUGUUCGAGGACUUGCUCUCUGUCUGUCUCCACUCUCUGCCUUCACUGUACCAAAGUUUGUCUGUUGAGUCUCCUCUAGUCUGGUUGACCACUUGACAUGUGAGAGCCUGAGGAGUUGUUUUCCAGACAAAGGUAGAGCUG